CCGGCAGGUGGUGGAGGACGGCUACGAGUUCUUCGCCAAGCGGCAGCUGGUGACGCUGUUCUCGGCGCCCAACUACUGCGGCGAGUUCGACAACGCCGGCGCCAUGAUGAGCGUUGACGAGACGCUCAUGUGCUCCUUCCAGAUACUCAAGCCCGCCGACAAGAAGAAAUUUUCGUACGUGAGCCUGAACUCAGGGCGGCCUGUGACCCCCCCGCGAGGCGCCGCCAAUCAGAAGCCCAAGAAAAAAUAGAAAACCAGCGCUGAUUGGCUGGGUUUCUGGCCCAUGAGGGCCGGGCAUCCUUUGUUCGUGCCCGUGAUUGGUGGAUACUAAGUGGUGAUUGCCCAAUAGAAGUCAAGCUUGGAUUGCAUGUCAGGUGGUGGCGUGGCCAAUGAGAAUCAACGGAACAUCGUUUGUAGCGAUGAAUGAGGUUAAUUUGUUUUGACUGGCGUUUAAGUGUCGUUUAAAAUUAAACCUUGAAUGUUUGUAUUAGCUUUGGCAAAAUUUAUUUAAUUUGAACAAAAUCUAAGGAGAUCGCAGCUUUGAUAUAUUCGGUCUCGAUUUAAAUGACGAUAUAUUUUGUCUCGGUUUAUUUGGUAUAUUCGGUCUCGAUUACCUUCAUAAACCUCAUGCACUGAUAAGAAAUAAUCCAUCGAAUAUUUUAAGCCAAAAGAACUUCCUCUUGUUAACAUUUUACUAAUAAAUAAUAUAAGUUAACAACAAGAAAUUCUCUGCCAUUGCCUGCAAGACCAAAUUAAUUCAUAAAAGCAUCAGAGCUUCUAAAUUUCACGUGUUUUUCUAAGAAUUUAGCGGGUUUUCUACCAAAAAAUAUCCCUUAUGAAUAAAAUAAGGAAUAAAAUCUGUUGUGAAAUCUAAAAGAGGAUCCGACGUGCUGAGGAAAUGUGCAGGAGUUUCGUUAAUAAGCAAUGAAGGGCGAGAAGAACAACACAGGACAAAGCGAGUGGGCAGAAGUGAACAUAUUUUAUAUAAUAAUAUUACUUGUAGGUCUUGUAGCCUCCCCAGCGUAACACGUGAUGACUCUUAUAUAUUCCUACCGCUUCUGCAGUACAUAUUGUGGGGCCGGCCACGCCUCUUGAGGAACUAAGUACUGCUGGUGUACUAGAUGGUACUGGUGUGCUAGGAAGUACUGGUGUACUAGCUACUGCUGUGUACUAGGUGGUAAUGGUGUGCUAGGUACUGCUGGUGUACUAGGUACUGCUAGUGUACUAGCCAGACUAUUAUACUAGGUACUGCUGGUGUACUGGGUAGUACUAUUGUACUAAGUACUGCUGGUGUACUAGGUGGUACUGGUGUACUAAGUACUGCUGGUGUAUCACGAAGUACAAGUGUACCAAAUACUGAUGGUGGUGGCACUCACUGGCUCACCGUGACCCGGCAUGCCGCCACCACGGCCCCGCCCCCGCCGCUUGUAUGGCGCGUUAAGUUGUGUUGUUGUCCGCUGUUUUGUUAUGAGGGCCGCCGUGUCCUGGCAAGUUGCUGUGUAGUUCAGUCCGUCGUAGUAAGUCCUCACUCAGUAUAAAUAGUUACCUUCUUUCGCGUGUGUAACGAGCGAACUGUUCAGUAGGGGCUUAAUUUUAACCUAUGUUGUCCCUGUGUGUGUGAACUGAGCCUAUCAUUCUGAUGCCAUCAUCGCGAGAUCAGCCACUCAUUGUGUCGUUCUGAUGAUGGUUCUCAUCAUCGCUGCAAGACGAGCCACGUUAUCCGAUGAUGAUGUUGGCUGCCUAAUUUAUCAUUGAAUUGAUAGACGAUGAUUGAUCAAUUCAUCAGUUGAUUUAUGAUGAAUUCAGAUUCGCGUGGCUGGGAGCUUAGUUCUGUUGUAGGAAGACUAGAGCCUCGUUCUGUACUCUUAGGACAUCGCCCGCCUCUGUAUUGUCCUACAAUUGAUUCGACACUCAAUAUUUUCUCUUUAUUAUUUAUUCACUUGUUUGGUCAGAGGAAGAAGCGCCGUUUUAGUGUUUUUUUAUUAGGUUUUUGAUCAGCUGACUUUUCGCCUGUACAUUAUCUCUCUUAAUUCCUGUGUCUUCCUAUCUUUCUCCUUUUCUCUCUCGUAUCCUCCGUUUUUUUUUCUACGAUUUGUUCGUGAAUUUUUCCAUUGAAAAUUCGGAUUCAUAAUUGUAUUUUUUCCCCCAUUUCUGUGGUCGGAUUUUAAGUGGUUUGAAAUCACGACAUCUUCUCCCGUUUAUUUUUAAUGCCUGUAUCGUGGAUGCAAUCCAGUAAUUUUAUAUGAAAAUAAAAAGGGUCCCGUGCCUUGACUUUCCUUGAAAAGCAAAUCUGCAUUAAAGUUUACUUUGAAAUUGUCCAGCCGCAAGUAUGUACCGAAACCAUUUCUGUAAUUCAUGGAGCGAUGUGCUGCUGGUAAUCCCGAAAUAAUUUAAAUAAUAAUAAGUUUAAAUCUGUAUAUUUGUGAUGUGUUGAUAAAUGUUUCCCGUUC
rnacentral:lncRNA from 1 species